rnacentral:rRNA from 1 species
UACAGAGGUGGCAAGCGUUGUUCGGAAUUACUGGGCGUAAAGGGCGAGUAGGCGGCUUUUUAAGUCAGACGUGAAAUCCCCCGGCUUAACCUGGGGACUGCGUCUGAUACUGGAUGGCUUGAGUUUGGGAGAGGGAUGCGGAAUUCCAGGUGUAGCGGUGAAAUGCGUAGAUAUCUGGAGGAACACCGGUGGCGAAGGCGGCAUCCUGGACCAACACUGACGCUGAGUGAGCGAAAGCCAGGGGAGCAAACGGG